AAUUAUACCAUCAAACUAUGAGAGCUCAAUACUGAGCUUGUUGAUGUUCACUAAUCAUUACUCUCUGAGCCCUUUCUUUCUUCCUGUAUUUUACUUUUAGUAUUGGUGUUUUAAUUUGUCUUUCUCUGAAACUAUGUUGUUUUUGAUCGGUGGGGGCAUUUAGUUCUUUGUUACCUUAAUUUUUUAAUAUCUGGAUGACACAACGGAAUUAGUUACUAAAUUGUCAGAUUUUUGGUGCUUAUAAUCUUAAAUUUAAGCUUUCCUGAUUUCUGAAGAUCUUGGAUAGCUUGUAUUGCGUUAUAAUUUGGUUCAAUCCCAACAAUUUUUUAGAAUUGAUACAUGAUCAUGAAAUGCAGUAAUUGAAAAUUAGAUUGUGCAAUAGAUUGUAAUGUUUUGACCUAAGUAGGAAGUGAUUAUUGUUCUUUUGUGAUUAUAUCUUUUAUUUCUUUGGCAUGGACAUUUAACAAAAUGAAGAAAAUAAAUCCAUAUUACUGAUUUCAAUUAAUUGUUGGAUUGAGCUUUCAGUUUCAACAAAAUCUUAUUAUAUUCUUGUAAUAUGUCGAGAUGAUCGACGAACGUGUGAAAGGCAACAAAUUAGAGUCUCUGAUGCGCUUUAUUUAUCAGUAGUGUUUUCAGUGCUGUACGUUGCCGAAAUGAUUGUGGGAGCUGAGAUUCUGGCAUGGCUUGUUAAUUAAUCAGGUUUAUGCAUUCAGAUGUUCCCACAUUUUAAUUGCGUACAUCAUGCAGUUGUGCGUUUGUGUUGACUGAUUAUGCAUAUGGUCAAUAUGCAAUAUGAUCAUUUCAGUCUGUAAACUUGGCUUUUGCAGUUCUGCUGGUUUUGUAAUAGAUAUUUCUGGUUAGAAAAUUAUUUUAAUGCAGGCCAUUUUACUUGGUUUGUUCACAUAAAUUUGACAUUGUAUGAGAAUUUGACAUCAUGUUCUUCUUUUGCUUGUGUGUGUGUGUGUGU
rnacentral:misc_RNA from 1 species